AACGUAGGAGACAAACGUUUAUCCGGAGUUACUGGGCGUAAAGGGCGCGUAGGCGGCGUGUUAAGUCACUUGUGAAAUCUCUAAGCUUAACUUAGAACGGUCAAGUGAUACUGAUGUGCUAGAGUGCAGAAGGGGCAACCGGAAUUCUUGGUGUAGCGGUGAAAUGCGUAGAUAUCAAGAGGAACACCUGGAGGUGAAGACGGGUUGCUGGGCUGACACUGACGCUGGAGGCGCGAAAGCUAGGGUAGCAAACGGG
rnacentral:rRNA from 1 species